rnacentral:rRNA from 1 species
UACGUAGGGGGCAAGCGUUGUCCGGAUUUAUUGGGCGUAAAGGGCGUGUAGGCGGCCAGAUAGGUCAGCUGUGAAAACUCGAGGCUCAACCUCGAGAUGUCGGCUGAAACCAUCUGGCUAGAGUCCGGAAGAGGAGAAUGGAAUUCCCGGUGUAGCGGUGAAAUGCGCAGAUAUCGGGAAGAACACCCGUGGCGAAGGCGGUUCUCUGGGACGGUACUGACGCUGAGACGCGAAAGCGUGGGGAGCGAACAGG